UACGAAGGGGGCUAGCGUUGCUCGGAAUCACUGGGCGUAAAGCGCACGUAGGCGGAUUGCUAAGUCAGGGGUGAAAUCCUGGAGCUCAACUCCAGAACUGCCUUGAUACUGGCGGAUCUUCGAGUCCGGGAGAGGUGAGUGGAACUGCGAGUGUAGAGGUGAAAUUCGUAGAUAUUCGCAAGAACACCAGUGGCGAAGGCGGCUCACUGGCCCGGUACUGACGCUGAGGUGCGAAGCGUGGGAGGCAA
rnacentral:rRNA from 1 species